rnacentral:rRNA from 1 species
GCAAGUAAAACUCGUGCCAGCCACCGCGGUUACACGAAUGACUAAAGUUGAUAACCACGGCACAAAGGGUGGUUAAUAACCAUUAAAUAAAGUCAAACAUAUCUACAGUUGUAUCAAGCAAAAUAAUAUAUGAAGCCCAAUCCCGAAAGAAACUUUAUUACUUUGACACCACGUAAACUAUCUAACAAACUGGGAUUAGAUACCCCACUAUG